GAUGAACGCUGGCGGCGUGCCUAAUACAUGCAAGUCGAGCGAACGGACGAGAAGCUUGCUUCUCUGAUGUUAGCGGCGGACGGGUGAGUAACACGUGGAUAACCUACCUAUAAGACUGGGAUAACUUCGGGAAACCGGAGCUAAUACCGGAUAAUAUUUUGAACCGCAUGGUUCAAAAGUGAAAGACGGUCUUGCUGUCACUUAUAGAUGGAUCCGCGCUGCAUUAGCUAGUUGGUAAGGUAACGGCUUACCAAGGCAACGAUGCAUAGCCGACCUGAGAGGGUGAUCGGCCACACUGGAACUGAGACACGGUCCAGACUCCUACGGGAGGCAGCAGUAGGGAAUCUUCCGCAAUGGGCGAAAGCCUGACGGAGCAACGCCGCGUGAGUGAUGAAGGUCUUCGGAGCGUAAAACUCUGUUAUUAGGGAAGAACAUAUGUGUAAGUAACUGUGCACAGCUUGACGGUACCUAAUCAGAAAGCCACGGCUAACUACGUG
rnacentral:rRNA from 1 species